CAAAGGGGAGGCACUUGCCUGGAUACGGGUUGAUGACAAAACCAUGCUUGAGCAUGCUACAUGUGCUGUUAAUAAUAUAAACACACAAAUUAUAAUUUAUUUUCAUAAAUACAAUAGCAGCAAUAACAGAUGUCUGAAACAAGUAUGACUUUAGUUGUCUGAGCAGACAGUAAACUCUUCAACUUCAAUUCCACAGUGAUGAAGAAGAAAAUGAUGUACUACAACAUGCAUGUGAGACCGGCCAGAGGAACCUGGCAGAGAACCAGGCCAAUCUGCUGUAGAAUAAGAGGAAUCUCUUACAGCUGCCAGAGACAGGCCAGAGGAACCUGGCAGAGAACCAGGCCAAUCUGCUGUAGAAUAAGAGGAAUCUCUUACAGCUGCCAGAGGACAGGCCAGAGGAACCUGGCAGAGAACCAGGCCAAUCUGCUGUAG
rnacentral:lncRNA from 1 species